AGUGAACGCUGGCGGUAGGCCUAACACAUGCAAGUCGAACGGCAGCACAGUAAGAGCUUGCUCUUACGGGUGGCGAGUGGCGGACGGGUGAGGAAUACAUCGGAAUCUACUUUUUCGUGGGGGAUAACGUAGGGAAACUUACUCUAAUACCGCAUACGACCUACGUGUGAAAGCAGGGGAUCUUCGGACCUUGCGGGAUGGAAUGAGCCGAUGUCGGAUUAGCUAGUUGGCGGGGUAAAGGCGCACCAAGGCGACGAUCCGUAGCUGGUCUGACAGGGUGAUUAGACACCCUGGAACGGAGACAGGGUCGCGACUCCUACGCGAGGAAGCAGUGGGGAAUAUUGGACGAUGGGGGCAAGCCUGAUACAGCCAUACCGCGUGAGUGAAGAAGGCCCUAGGCUUGUAGAGCCAUUUUGUUGGGAAAGAAAAGCAGCAGGUUAAUACCCCGCUGUUCUGACGGUACCCAAAGAAUAAGCACCGGCUAACUUCGUG
rnacentral:rRNA from 1 species